GGCAUCGUCAGUGCCAAGAAUGCGAUGACAAUAUUUAAAAAUGGAGACGAAGCCAUUCUUAACGGAACGACUGGCUUUAUAGAAAAAGCGAAUAAAGAGGAACCUGAACUAGAACAGGCUAAAGAUUGCACCAGUGAUUAGGAUGUCUGCAUUGAUGAUAAGGAAAACGAAAAGCUCCAAACGUCUACAAAAAAACCAUCCACGGCGAUCACACACGUGGGAACCAUGCAGGACAGCGUGGUCAUGUAUUAGAUAUAGGGAGGUGGUUAAUUAUCGCACAGGCAAGCGUAGGUCGGAUAGACACACUAGACACGAACAUGUUAAUGCGCGAUCUUCCAGCACAAAAGUCCUAUAUAGAUGACGAGUGGUUCGUUCAACGAUUCCACCUACACAAAUACUGGAAAUACACCACCAUGUUCAGGUAUGGUUCGAUCUACGACCCCCGUACCUUCCCAAAGACUAGUAAUGAGGGAUCCAUGUGCACGCAUGGCGCGAUUCCCGAUCCACAUCCAGGAGAAAGAAAAAGCACCUCAUGUACGCGCAACCUCUCAUCUAGAGCCAUGCUCUCCCCACUGCACAAUGUCACUGGCGAAGGAUCACAUUUACCAAGAACGCGGAAUUUCCUAAAAGCCGAUUGCUCGCAGUGAUAUGUUCUCACGUACGUAGCACUCAAACAACGUAUAAUAUUAGGAAGUACCACCAGAAAUGUAUCAUCGAACGUUAGAUAUAAUAGUUAAUAAUAACUAC